rnacentral:rRNA from 1 species
GAUGAACGCUGGCGGCGUGCCUAAUACAUGCAAGUCGAGCGAACAGACGAGGAGCUUGCUCCUCUGACGUUAGCGGCGGACGGGUGAGUAACACGUGGAUAACCUACCUAUAAGACUGGGAUAACUUCGGGAAACCGGAGCUAAUACCGGAUAAUAUAUUGAACCGCAUGGUUCAAUAGUGAAAGACGGAUUUGCUGUCACUUAUAGAUGGAUCCGCGCCGCAUUAGCUAGUUGGUAAGGUAACGGCUUACCAAGGCGACGAUGCGUAGCCGACCUGAGAGGGUGAUCGGCCACACUGGAACUGAGACACGGUCCAGACUCCUACGGGAGGCAGCAGUAGGGAAUCUUCCGCAAUGGGCGAAAGCCUGACGGAGCAACGCCGCGUGAAUGAUGAAGGUCUUCGGAUCGUAAAACUCUGUUAUUAGGGAAGAACAAAUGUGUAAGUAACUAUGCACGUCUUGACGGUACCUAAUCAGAAAGCCACGGCUAACUACGUG